UGCCAAAAUGGGGGGCUGGUCCCUUCAGUCCUGUUAGACUUCAGUUAAACACAAUCUCCUUCCCCAAAGGAAACUACCUUAAAUGGGAGAAGAGUGACAAGAGGAUCACUCUGUAGGUUAGAACAAAGCAGUCCCCCUGGAUCAAUCAUGCUGCUAUCUCCUUACCAUGGAGUACAAUUAUUAGUCACUGGAGAACACACUCCGCCCAUUAAAAGAAUUUUUUUGUUGUUUUUAUUUUGGGGGGGGAAUUGGGGAGACAACUAAGAGGCUAAAAGCACUAGCCAUGCAAACUGGAACCCACAUUUAAAAACAAGCGGGGGGUGGAUGUGGUGGCAUGCAUCUGUAAUCCCAACACUCGUGUGGUAAAAUGGCAGGUGGAGACAGAAUCGAGCAGGCCAGGCAGCCUGGAGUACACAAUGCUGACAGUUGCCCUCUGAUUGCCAUAGGUGCACCCUGGCACAUGCUCACACAUGGCCUUCCUCGACAUGUGCUCCCUUUGCCUCCAUGAACGAACCUGUGAUCACUAAUUCUAAUCCCACUUUCCUAACUGUUCUGUAUCAGGGUUCUCUUCUCUUUUAAUACAGAUGAGAUUAAAAGGGAGCUGAUUCCAGGCAGAAGAUCUUGACUCCAUCACUAAAGCCCCUUUUAGAUGCUGGCAUAUCAUAACCCUCAAGAGAAAACGGCACACUGUAUGAAAGAAGCCGGCCACAAAGGACCACAGACUGGAUGGUUCUGUUCCUCUGAAAUGUCUGGAGCUGGCAAAUCUGCUGGGACGGGAAGCAGAUUACUUGUUGCCUGGGGCUGGAAUGAGGGUUGGGGAAUAAAGAGUGACUGACAAAGA